UUGGCGAGGCGCCUCUGUACCUAGCAGCUGCGAAUGGUCAUUCAGGCGUUUGUGCGGCCCUGAUCGAUCGAGGCGCUGAUAUAGAGAAAAGGAACAAAAAUGGACAUUGGUCAUUGUUGAUUGCUGCCAAAUGUGGUCAUUAUCAAACAGUGAAAACCCUGCUGCAAAAAGGAGCCAAUAUCCUAGCAACAGAUUCAAAAGGAAGGUCGGCAUUACAUUUUGCCACUCUAAAGAACGAUACGAAAACCGUUGAGGUUUUGAUGAAUCAAAUUAAAGAAAGUAAUCAUAAUGCAAGCAACUUCCUUGACAGCAAUAGGAAUACUCCCUUGCAUUACGCGGCAGAAUAUGGAAAGACGGAAGCUAUGCAGGUACUCUGCAGGUAUCCGCGACAGAUGGGGUUUCUGGCGAACUGCUCCGGCUUGACGGCACUCCAUCUUGCAGCC